rnacentral:piRNA from 1 species
UCCNGAGGAUCUUUGCACUCUUCGCUGGG